CGAAAAUGAAGAAAUAUUUGGGCGGAAGGAAUCUCCAAAAUCUCUAUACAAAUUUCUCUCCAUUGUUUCUCAAGUUUUGAAGUUCAACUUUCUACUUCUCAAGCGAAGAAGGAACUUAAGAAUGACUUCUAAGAAACGAUCGGUAACUCUCUCAAAGUAACUCUCAAAUAGGGGAAAAAAGGUUUACAUAGGGUUAAGGUCAUUCGUUUAACACAACAAAAUGAAAAAUAAAUCAGAAGAACCCACACUUUUUGAAGUCUAUAAACAUCUACACACUACCAGGGAUCACAUAUGGUUUACAGAAGAAGACCAGAUAAGAUUUUGAUAAGAUGAUUCAGCUUCGAAAAAAAAACAUUAUUGAAGGAGAGCAAAGAAAUGAAGAUGAUAUUUACAAUGAGGUUUUUGGAAGAAGAUUUAAAAGAAGUGAGCAUCGUGGCUUAUGGAGAUUUGGUUCAAAACUUAGAAAAUAAAAUCCAGAAGAUGCAAGCAGACUACAAAUUAUUCCAGCACAGGAUUCAAAUGUUGAACC